rnacentral:rRNA from 1 species
UGGGGAAUAUUGCACAAUGGGCGAAAGCCUGAUGCAGCGACGCCGCGUGAGGGAUGACGGCCUUCGGGUUGUAAACCUCUUUCAGCAGGGAAGAAGCGAAAGUGACGGUACCUGCAGAAGAAGCGCCGGCUAACUACGUGCCAGCAGCCGCGGUAAUACGUAGGGCGCAAGCGUUGUCCGGAAUUAUUGGGCGUAAAGAGCUCGUAGGCGGUUAGUCGCGUCUGCUGUGAAAACUCGAGGCUCAACCUCGGGCUUGCAGUGGGUACGGGCUGACUAGAGUGCGGUAGGGGUGACUGGAAUUCCUGGUGUAGCGGUGGAAUGCGCAGAUAUCAGGAGGAACACCGAUGGCGAAGGCAGGUCACUGGGCCGCAACUGACGCUGAGGAGCGAAAGCGUGGGGAGCGAACAGGAUUAGAUACCCUGGUAGUCCACGCCGUAAACGUUGGGCGCUAGAUGUGGGGACCAUUCCACGGUUUCCGUGUCGCAGCUAACGCAUUAAGCGCCCCGCCUGGGGAGUACGGCCGCAAGGCUAAAACU